rnacentral:rRNA from 1 species
AUUGAACGCUGGCGGCAGGCCUAACACAUGCAAGUCGAGCGGAUGAAGGGAGCUUGCUCCUGGAUUCAGCGGCGGACGGGUGAGUAAUGCCUAGGAAUCUGCCUGGUAGUGGGGGAUAACGUCCGGAAACGGGCGCUAAUACCGCAUACGUCCUGAGGGAGAAAGUGGGGGAUCUUCGGACCUCACGCUAUCAGAUGAGCCUAGGUCGGAUUAGCUAGUUGGUGGGGUAAAGGCCUACCAAGGCGACGAUCCGUAACUGGUCUGAGAGGAUGAUCAGUCACACUGGAACUGAGACACGGUCCAGACUCCUACGGGAGGCAGCAGUGGGGAAUAUUGGACAAUGGGCGAAAGCCUGAUCCAGCCAUGCCGCGUGUGUGAAGAAGGUCUUCGGAUUGUAAAGCACUUUAAGUUGGGAGGAAGGGCAGUAAGUUAAUCCCUUGCUGUUUUGACGUUACCAACAGAGUAAGCACCGGCUAACUUCGUG